rnacentral:lncRNA from 1 species
AUUAAAUACUGCUGACUUGUAAGGAAUCUUGCUUUAGAUUUUAUUGUAUUUGAAGUUACUAGGUGGACCUUAUAUAGUAUGUUUACCUGGCUGCAAUUUGGGGUUUGGGGAACAUGAGGGGUGGGGUGAACUGUUGUUGUUUUAGGUUUCAGUCAGACAGACAUCCCUGCGCCUCAGUUCCCAGAAGCACAGCAGGCCUCUAGGAGCAUCCGUGGGAAAGGCGCAGUCCUGGCAUCACCAGCUUCUCCUGCUCAGGCUCAUCCCAUAUGCAGAGGUCAAAAGGGUGGGGCUUGAGAUGGGGGAAGGAACGAGAACGUAUAGGCUAUGGCAUUGCAGUGCUGCUGUUGACCAGCUUUUGGUGCUUCUGUCAGUGUGUUGCUUGUUUUAAGUUAGCAAGUCUGUACAUUUAUUUGGGAGGGUGAAAAAACAAGCCAUUAUUAUUGCUAGUCAGUCUUGGAAUAGUUCCUCAGUAUGUAAUUUCAAAUAAAUUUCAGAUGUAGACUCCAGUGGCAAAGAAUGGCAAUAGAAAUGAGUAUUAGAUUUUUAAAGGCAGAAGACAUCAUCCUGUCUUCUUAGAACCACAUUUGUUUUUCCCUACCCUGAGUUUUGCUGUGUUUGUAAAUAGUUUAAGGCAAAUACAUUCAUGGUCAGUCCUUUUAAGGGAAUUACUGAAUAUUAACUCUUUUGCAAAAAAAUACCCACUGCUUAUCUGGGCAUACAAAUGCUACCCUAUUUUAAAUGUAGGUGGCGUGUGUGUUCGUGCUUUAAUGUAUUCAGAGCCAUUGGGCAAUAAGCAGUCCAGAACAUUGAAAGCAGCAGAGAGAUAAACUGGUAGGUGGCAGCAGAGAAAGGAAUUCUUCAGACUGAUGGCUGUUGACCUUAAACCUACAUAGGAGAAGAGAUAGCAUGUGACGUACCAAGUGGAGCGAGGGGCAGCACAGAUGAAAACUGGACUCAGGAAGGCUGCCUCUUUACUGAAUGUUGUCUCCAUUGAUGAAGUAACCAGUGAUGUUCUGGAUGAAGAUAGAUCUUUGUCACCUUUUAGAGGGGGGAAAAGAAUGCAGAAUAAGAAGGAAUUGGUUCUUUAUAUCUUGUUGCAUUCAGUGUGGGUUUUCUUUUUCUUAAUAAACACUGAAUGGGAAUGAA